rnacentral:rRNA from 1 species
UAACACGUGGGGAACCUGCCCCAUAGUCUGGGAUACCACUUGGAAACAGGUGCUAAUACCGGAUAAGAAAGCGGAUCGCAUGACCAGCUUUUAAAAGGCGGCGUAAGCUGUCGCUAUGGGAUGGCCCCGCGGUGCAUUAGCUAGUUGGUAAGGUAAAGGCUUACCAAGGCGAUGAUGCAUAGCCGAGUUGAGAGACUGAUCGGCCACAUUGGGACUGAGACACGGCCCAAACUCCUACGGGAGGCAGCAGGC